rnacentral:lncRNA from 1 species
GGAAACACAACAUCAUUACUUUUAUUUUUACUAGUCUAACAAUAAUCACUAUGUGUAUCACACUGAUAGUUAACUCAAUAUAACCAUACUCUAUUACAUCAAGAUACAUUAUUAUGAUACAUAGUAUUGCAACACACUUAUGUAGUCAAUUCCAAUAUUAUUCAUAUACUCCCAAGUAUGGUCAUUCUACAAAGCUUUCCUCCGAUCCCAAGCACGUCUGAAUUUGACAAACACCAUGUCAUUCAACCUAGGUUGUUCCAAUCUAUUCCAUUUCUUCACGUGAAGCUAAUAGAAGAAAGAGAAGAAAAGAAAGUAAGAAUUACAAAACAUGGAAUUUUAGCAAUAAUAUCUAAAAAUCGUUUUUCAGCUGAACAUAAUAGAUUUUCAAUAUGAAAAACACAGCAAUAAUAAAAAAUAGAUAUUUAGUAAAAAACAGAAUUUUAGUAAAAACAAAUAAAAAUAAAAAUUUACGUGUUGAAAACUAAUAAAUCAUACAAAAUUCUUAGAAAUGCUUGAUAGAGUGCGUAAAGGUCAUCCCUCUACUUCUGGUUUGACCCAUAUGUGCAUGGAAACUUGAAUAUGUUAUUGCCCCUGCCAAAAAAGAUUAAAACAUUUUAAGUUAAAUCAUUUCGUAUUGAUCAUUAAAUAUUGUAAAAGCACACAAACCAACUGGAGUUUAGAUGCAAGAAAUAACAAUAAUAGUUUUAGUGAUAUGUUUAUUAUACCAUUCAAGUUUGUAUAAAUUUCAUAACAGUGUUGAUGCCUUGAAGAGAUGAAAUAACAAUCAACAAAAAACACAUUUAAAAUAGCAUGAUGAUGAUGAUCAAAAGGACUUGCACAUGCCAUACCAUUCAUGUGGAUACUAAAUGUAACGCUCGGUUCGGAUUUGCUCCGUUGCUUGGGGUUGCAGCCUAGUCAUUAGUUGCCUCAAGGCUUAGGGCUUCUGGAAAGGAAGUUUUUUGCCUAUUUCGGAUGUGGGUGUCAUGGUAUAAGUGAUCCAAGUAUUUGAUUGUGUCUUCGGAAACCAAUUGUAUAAUCGUAAUUUGAUAUCUUGGUCUUUUAUGAGUUUAGGGUUUUGCUUGAGAGGUUUUAAGGCUUGGUUGUGUUGUUAGGAGCGCAGGGCUUCUCCCCACCUUUUUGUGGAUAUAAGGUUCGCUAGAAAUGGGCCUAGAAUGAGGGAGUUAUGGUAUUUCGAAGUUAUUGGCCAUUUUGGUCCCUAAUGGAAAUAAUUAGCGAGGCAGUCCCAUGCAUGGAAGGUGGCAUGCGCGUAAGUACGCCCAACGUUAGCUAGGGUACUCCCAACAUACGUGUGGAAAAUGGACACGGCUUUAGGAGACGUACACCCAACGUACGUUCAAGAUCCCCAAAACCCUAAUUCUUAGGGUUGGCUCAAUAUUUAAACCCUAAAUCUCGAAGUAUAGCUUCAUCCAAGAGUGUGGAAAAUGGUGUGAGCCUCUCUUUCAUCCUACAGUGUCUCAAACCAUAAAUCUCGAAGUAUAGCUUCAUCUAAGAGUGUUGUGAGCCUUGUAUGUGCAUUUUUGGUGGAUUCUAGCAUAUUUCAAGAAGUGGAAGCUUGGUACAAGGUGGUCGUUCAAGGAAAGGCUUGUGGAUCUGGACUUUUUGCUUUAUUUUCAGCUCAUUGAAGGUAAAAAGUUCUUAGCUUGAUCAUUAAAAGUUGAGAUGAUUUUAUGGUUUUUGGUUCCAUUUUGACCUCAUGAGCAAGAUCUAGUGGUUGGACACCACUUCAGAAGCUUUGAGUUGCCACUCUUGGUAGAUUUAAGGUUAUAAGUUCAUAAAAAUGCUUGCUUGAUACUUAUAUAUGGUCCAUGCAUGGUCUUGUUGGGUUUUAAUGGAUUAAAAUGGUUAUUGGGUCUCAUGGGUCAUGUAAAUGCAUAAAGGUGCCGACUUUAAGCAUUAUGAGUUUAUAUGGAAGGUAUUUUGUGGUCAUUAUGGAAGGACUUAACGGAUUACGUCAUGAAAUAAGCUUUGGGAAGUUUGUGGAGUACGCCCCGCUUACUAAGGUCUUUGUGGUACGCCCUGCAUACCAUUGUGUACGCCCACUGUAAUGGCCUAAUAUUGUUUUGGGCUUUGUGGGCCCAAUGGAUUUGAGCCUUGUGGAACCUUUGGGUUUUCUGAGAUUUUGUUAUUGGACUAGGAGUUGUUGGGCAUUUGGUUAAGUCCACUUGGCAUUGGGCCUAAAAUGGAAAAUUAGGGCAUUAAUGGGCUUUUAUGGAUUUUAUAGUUUUGGUCUGGGGCCUUGGUUAUGAGUCUUGAUGGGCCAGGGGUAAAAUGGUCAUUUUAACCCACGGUUGGUUUAUGGAUCAUGGUUUGGAAUUUAGUUCCUAAUUGGAUGUUGUUUUGGUAAUUGUUAGUUUGGGAAAUCGUCAGGGCAGCAGCUAGGGAUUUCAUACAGUGAGCUUCAAUAUUCGAUGGGAGUUUCCUAACUAUUGUAUGGGUCGAAGGCACCAAAUGCCAACCCAUAUGGUUUAGGGACCCAGGGGUUAGCCCUUGUCAUCAUUCAUGAAAGACUUGGAGGCGGCUCCUGGCACACUGUAUGCAAGACCAAAGUCUAAACUCUGGCAAGUAAUUAGUGAAGUAUUAUUGUUUGUAUGCUAGUUGUCUUUGUGAUGCUUGCAUGGAAGACCAGGAGGUAGCUCCUGGAACUUGUCUAUAAGACCCAGGGGUGUGGCCCCCGGCCUAGCAAGGAAGACCAUGAGGUGGCUCGUGGCAUAAUGGCAAGACUAUGUGCGACACAUAGCACCUUUAUUGUUUAUGAUAUAUGAUUGAUAUGUAUGGCUCGCGGUUAUGUAUGGCAUGCAUGGAUCGUUUGAUAUGUAUGGUAUGUGGUAUUUGGGGAACUCACUAAGCUUUGUGCUUACGGUUUUCAAUUUUGUUUCAGGUACUUCAGUUUUCAAGUAAAAGGGGCUCGGGACGAUCGCAGCGCAUACACCCGUGAUUUCCGUAAAAUGUGAUCCAUGGGAUUAGACUCUAACAAUUGUUUAUUUGAAAUGCUUUUCAAUGUAUGGAACAAAGUUAUCAAAGUAUUUUACCUAUAUUAAAAAUGAAUUUUUUACCUUGGAUUUUUGGGUCGUUACAAGUUAGUAUCAGAGCAUUGGUUUGAGAGAUUCGGGCAUACUCUCGAGUGGGCCUGAACUCAAACUGAGGGUUUGGUGAAAAAAGUUUAUAAUUAAACAUUUAAUUAAAAAAGGAAUUUUUUAACAAAGAAAUGGGUGUGAUGUGUGCAAUCGACCGAGCUCAAGUAAGUGGCUCCCAAAAUACCAAUACAUUUUAUUAUGAUAUAUCUUAUGAUUAUGAGAAUUUCAGGCUAGGUUAGGGCUAAGGAUCUGCUCAAAAUUCAUGAUAGGAGAGAUGCCUUUAUAUGUCUGAUUGUAUGAGCUUUAGUAUCGCAUGCUAGUAUAGAUUUUUGAUAAGAGGAUAGAAUAAUUUGAUUGGUUAGUUUUUCCGUUGUCCAAAUGUUGCUUACUUUGUGCUUUGUGGGACUCUUAGAAAUGUGAGCUAGCUACUAAGUGCAUAUGCUAAGUCAAAUGUGGCACAUGAUGGAUAAUCUCAGAGUGAUGGACUUGGCCCUAUUACGCAGCUCUCGUUUGAGUCCAACCGUUCUAGGUUUGAGUCUUUUACUCAAAGGAUUAUCUGAUCUUUGUUGUAUGUGACUAUAUUUAUGAGGUAGCUAGUUGACAUUACUAGGAAUCCUUCAGCUGCUGAGGACUGGGUGGGGUCGGGAACCUAGGAAAUCCUAGGAUAUGCUUCAGUGGGUUAGUGAUGUGGUUUAAUGAGUUUUGGGUGAUUUGGCUUGAGGAAGUGACUUAGAGGAUUCAGGAGGAUUGCUGAGAAAAGUAUGGAUAGGCGUGGAAGGUAGUAUUGGGCCUGUACUACUGAAAGCACAUGAUCCAUACUUGAAUCGAUGAGAGUCUUGGAGAAUCUAAGAAACUUAGAGGGGGUGAUUCUUGAGUAAGUUUUGAUCAUUGGUUUAUGGUAUUUCAGUUUGGAGAUGAGCUCUCAGGGAGGUGGUUAUGGCUCUGCUUCUGGUUUUGGUUAUGGUUCAGGUUCUGGCUUAGGUGCGGAUGCUGAGACGGUUAGUGAGCAGUUGUGGGAGUUUAUAUCAUUGAAGAUUUCUCUCUGUAUUUCGUAGAUAGUGGAUGAGUGCUUGGGUGCGUUUUGUGCGAAGGUUGUGGAUAUCAUUGGAGCUUGCACUCUGUCCUUCCGGGAGUUCUGUGCUUGUGAAGCUCCUGCAUUCCAUGGGGAGAGGGACCCAUUCUCAGUAUGAGGUGGUUAGCAGAUAUGACUAACCCGUUCAGGAUGAGUUUCUGCCCUGAGGAGGCAAAGGUCAGAUAUGCUUUCUGCCUGUUGAAGGACUGGACACGUGAUUAGUAGGAAGAGAUUGGUAGUGAGUUGGGUGAUGAUGUUGUUGAUGCUAUGUCAUGGGAUGACUUCUCGACCUGGUUUCGAGCUGAGUUUGCACCCACAAUUGAGGUGCAACAGUUGGCGCGUGAGUUUCUGGAUCUCCGCCAGACGACUGAGACUGUGGCAGAGAUCACUGCCAAGUUCUGAGAAAGGACUUUGUUGGUACCGUAGUAUGCAGCAGAUGAGGAGAUAAAGAAAGUGAGGUAUCAUGAUAUGUUGUGGGAUGAAAUCAGGGAGUUCAUGAGUAUUUCGGGUUGCGAGACCCUGAAUGAUAUGAUUUCUAGAGCCCGAGAGCGGGAGAUUGAUGUGGAGCACAUUGGGAGGAAGGGGUCUGAUCAGUUGCAUGCAUUGGAGGGUCCUGGGAAGAGACCUAAUACUUUUGAUCAGCUUUCGAGAGGCCAGCAGGGUCGGGUUCAGUGCAACACAUGCGGGAAACUGAAUGAUGGAGUUUGUCAUUCCAAGGGUUAAGGCUACUGCAUGUGUGGCAGGGUUGGUCACAUGAGCAGGGAUUGUCCUCAGGGGGCAAGCCCGUUAUGUUUUUACUGCGUUUAGGAGGGCCACAAGAAGUCCGACAUUCCAAGGUUGACGGAGGAGCAGUGCGUGCGCCCGCUCCGGCUACUUUGAGGAUCAUCGUGGACAAAAGGGUAGGGCAGAAGCCCCAACGGAGAGGAGUCAGAGUUUGUGGGUUCGGAGUGUUCAACGUUAUCUUAGGUUGUGGUCUAGGAUUGGUUUAGGGGUAUUAUGUGGAAGGUCUACGGUCAGGGUUCAGUGGAGUGGUUAUCUAACAUCGUCGGGGUUCGGUGAGUUAAGUCUUGUGCUUUGGUUGGCUUUUGGAAGUGCCAAGGGAAGUAGUCUUAUGUUGAGGUUUUGGUUGGAGCGUCGGAUAUUUGGAAUUCAAGAUUUUAUUAUGGUAUCAUUUCAAGGCAUCUAGGGUAAUCAGUUCCGUUAGGAUUCGAGAAGUUUUCAUCUAGUCUUUAGAGGUUGUGCGGUCUUUUGGAGUUUGGCUAGUGAUGGAGAAUUAACCUUGGUAAGCACCGAUUUUCAGCAGAUCGGUCAUUUAAAGGUAAGAUGGAUUGGGAUCCUUCAAUUAUCGCGUGCAGCGAGGACUUAGUCGAACCAAAGUGGGGGGAAUUGUUUAGGUGUUCAGGAUCAGAAGCAGGUUGGAAACUUGGCUGAGUUUCGUAUCCUCGUCUCGGAGGAGGGCGGUCCAAGUGGUUGUCCGGAUUGAGGAUUGUGUGAGUUGGGACUUUGGGAAACUUCCCAACAUUGGUUAUUUGCGAACCACUCUUCCGUUCGAGCUCUGACUGACUGUACACACCGCAUCUUCCUGAAAUUCAAGGUUAAGUCAAGGUCCACAUUCCCGAUCCCAAGCCAACAAUCAAAAAAGAACAUGACAAGGGAUCGAGCCCAUGUCCUUAACCCAAAUCCUUUUUAUUAUAAUUUCUUUUUCAAAACCGUUUUGCAAAAACUCUCGGAUCCUAGUCUGAGACUGGAUUCACACAAGCAUUCCUCCAAUUCACUCAAACCAGGGCUCCGAUACCAACUUGUAACGUCCCAUUUACACAAACAAAAAUUUUCAUUUUUCUUAAUGUAAAACUUUGCAAUUUAGAAAUCCUUUAUUAAGAAUACGUUUAUUCUCAAUUACAUUUUUAUUUUGAAUCGGAGUUUUAUAGAAAACACGGAAUCCUCAUUGCUGCUGAUGCGCAUGUACCGUCCUGCCUUCGCCUUCCCAUAGACACCAAUAAUACCUAAGAAUAUAGACAACUGGAUAAGCAUAAAGCUUAGUGAGUUUCCCCGAAACUAUCAAAAACCAUAUAACCACCUAAUACAUUGCAACAUAUAUAUANNNNNNNNNNNNNNNNNNNNNNNNNNNNNNNNNNNNNNNNNNNNNNNNNNNNNNNNNNNNNNNNNNNNNNNNNNNNNUAUAUAUUGUUUGCAAUGGAAUCUCUCCAUAGUCUUCAACUGGUAUGCCAUGGGCUCCCCCCAUGUUCUUUACCUGGAAUGCCAUGGCCUCCCCCAUGGUCUAAUAACCAAGUGUCAUGGGCUCCACCAUGGUCUUCACAUAAGUCAUUACAUGUUAACUAGCAAACACUAUUGCAUAUCAACUAUUAAGACCAUGUAUCAAGUAAUGGGCUAUCAUUGGUGCCUUCGACCCAUUGGUAUAAUGAGAAGACUCACUACCGCCUACUAGUCCUCUCACAGCGUAUAGUCAUGUUACCAGCUAAGCCCCAUAGAAUGUGUAACCAUAAGUAACCAGAGGUGAGAUAGACACCUAAACAGAUGGUCCUACUCUAGAGUCACAACCAAACAAGGAACAUGCAAGAGAGUCUAGACCAAGAGUUCUCAUGCUAUCCUUCAUGACCAUAGACAAUCCCUAAGGGCACUCCAUAGAUGAUAACCAACAAGCAUAUAUACAUACAGUCCUAUAGAUUAUUAUAGCAAAGAAACAUACUCAAUACAAGGAGACAGAUCUAAUAGAUCACUACAGCAUAGCAGCAUACUCGAUAUCAGAAUACAAAUGUAUUAGGUCUGUAACGACCCAAAUUUCAAGGCCAAAAAUUUCAUUUUUGAAUUAACGCAUUAAAUAAACAUUUUACCAAAACCUUUUCAAUAAAACCUGCAUUACACAGUCAUAAUGUUGUAUUUCAAACCAUAAUAUCAUAAGUAUUAAAAAUUAGAGUACAGUCCCAGAAACAUCUUGUGGAAACAUGUGUGUGUGAUGCGCUACUACGCCGCCGACUCUUUCCCCUUCGACGAAGAGGUACCAGAAACCAAAACCAAAAUUGUAAGCACAAAGCUUAGUGAGUCCCCCCAUCAUUCCACAUACCAUACAAUAUCGUCGUUAUCUUUCAACCGGUAACCAUCAUCGGUAUCUUUCAACCGGUAACCAUCAUCGAUAUCUUUCAACCGGUAAGCAUCAUCGGUAUCUUUCAACCGGUAAUCAACAUCGGUAUCUUUCAACCGGUAACUGGGGACUAUUUCACCCCUACCACUAGCAUACAAUCAACAGAUAUAAGCGUGAAGUCAGGCAUGUCCAGCUACUGACCUACCCUUGGGUCCUAAUGUAACAUCCGGGUUCCCAGGUAUAUUAUUUUAUUCAUUUAUUUGGGGUUUGUGGAGGGACUCAAUGAGUUGGUGCUUAGACUCGCCGAGUAGGGUCGCGAAUUCUUAUCCGAGUUGGUGCCCGGACUCGGCGAGUUCAUGGGUGGACUCAGCGAAUCCGCGAUGUUCAAUGAAAACCUAAUUUCGUGGGUUUGGGACCUAUUUAAAGGCCCUUAUGGCUGUCAAUUGCGGCUACCAAACCCCAGAGAGAAACCCUAAGAGAGCUGGAGCAUUUGUGAGGGAGAAGAGGCCAUUUUCGAUCCUUGUGUUAGUGUUAUUACAAGAAGAAGGUGACCAGGGCAAGAGGGGGCCAAAGAGGGUGCUAUUCUGUGAAGCUUAGAGCCCGAUACAACAUUCUUGAGGUAUUGAUUCGACCCUUCUUUAGUUUUGGUGAUUAUUUUUGGAGUUAGGGUUUUCUAGACCCUUUAGAGACUAGAUUUGUUGGAUAUUUGGCCCCUUCUUGUGUCAAGGCUUUGGAUCUGGAUCCAAAGAGGUCCAGAGACCUUAACCCUCUGAGCUUUAUGUGUAUUAACGGAAGGAAUGAGACUAGGAUGUCAUAUUAGGGGUCAUUUCUUCGAAUAGAGUUCUUGAGCCCUUGCAUGAGCACCAAGAUCUGAACUUUACGUGAUUAACAUGCCUAGGAAGGCCAGAUUUUAUAGAUUGGAGAAAUGGAUCUGACCUCAGGAGGUCAUUUCAGUUUGAGCAGGGCAUGAACUCGUCAAGUCCAAGGGCAGACUCAACGAGUAGGGCUAGGGUUUUCCCGAUAAUCACAUAGUUGGUGACUCGCUGAGUUGAGGAACGACUCAGUGAGUCGGAAGGGAACUAGAGGACUUGGUCCACGACUCAAGAGUCGGACUCGACGAGUUUGGACGAGUUGUCCCAUGAUUCGCGAUCAGUGUUGAUAUGAUGAGUGGAGGUUUGACUCAGUGAGUCAAGUGAGGACCAGGAGUGUGAAGGACACGCAUGGACUCGCCGAGUCACAUUGGUGCACUCGACGAGUCUGGUCAAGGUUGACAAUUGACUUCGUUGACUUUGGGGGUUUAGUUAAUGAUUGGACAUUAGAGUCAAUGGAGGGGUAAAAUGGUCUUUAACCUUUCUAUGGGUGCCAAGAGAGGGUUGAGUCCAGUCUCGAGAGUUAUAUUUAUGAAAGUAUUUAAUUUAUGUGAUUAAGAGGAGGCUAGAUCGUAUUUCUACCGAGACAGAGAUUUAUAGAGACAUCUGAGGUGAGUCUUCUCACUAUACUUUACCUAGAGUGGUAACAGAGUUAUGUGACAGUAUUUAGAGUUAUGUGACAGAGUAUCUUGUAUGCUAUCUAUGUUAUGUGUUACACUGCGUUAUUUCUAUGUGAUUUAUGUUGUGCAUGUUCCAGAGUUAGGACUAGAAGGUCCACAGAGUUAUGGACCGGAAGGUUAACAUAGUUAUGGGAUGGAAAUCCCCUGAGACACUUGGAUCGGAAGAUCCUAUAGAGUUAUGGCCUGGAAAGGCGUAUGUGUUAGAGUGGUUUUUUGGGGAACUAACUAAGCUUCGUGCUUACAGUGUUAUGUGUUAUGUGUUUUAGUUUUUCUCAGGAUCACGGGACCGCACCGGCUCGAUUGUACACACUAGAGAAAGCGUUUGUUUUGAGGAUCCUGGUUUAUUAAAUUGAUUGAACAAAAGAGUCAUGUAUUGUAAUUUAAACAAAAAGGAGAUUUUUAUGAAAAAUGUUAAAGAGAUAAAUGAUUUUAAAUGAAAAAAUUUGUUUUGAAAAUUUCGGUGUUGCAGAGUUCUGUGGUACUUUUGAAAAUGAGCACAGCAAGCGGAGUUAUCACCCAGAGUGAGUCCUAUGUAUUCUUCGAUGCCCGAAUGUUGCUUGCUUCGUGCUUUAUGAAACUCUCGAUGAUGGGAGUCAGCUACCAAGUGAAUAUGACGAUAUUCAGGAGGUAGAUGGCUGGCAUCAUUAGGAGCUCUUCAGCAGCUGCUGGCAGAGACCUGGGAGGACCAAGGAAGAGCUUAGGGAGUAACAUUAGUCAGAUUAGUACGCUAGCGGAGUAGAGCAUUCCGAUGAGGAGCGAGCACGCAUGGUGGAAUUAGCGAACGAGAAGGUUGAGCAGCUACUUAGGAGCUCUGGAAUGGUCCAUGUGGAAAGUAUGGGUAGAUGUGGCAGGUAGUAUGUGUUGGAUAAGGUGUCUAAGUCCAUAACUAUUUCUGGUCAGUACUUGACCCGACCUGGCAUGGUCCAUUUGGGUUGCAUGGCACCAUGCAAUUAGAUAGAUUAAAUGAGAGAAAUAACACUUGGAGAUUAUUAAUAUAUUAUAAGUUCUAAUAUAUUAAUAAUAUUAUUUAAUUAGUUUGAUCAAGAAUUAAUUUAGUGAUCAAAAGAUAACUAAUUAAAUAUAUGGGUUGAUUAUGUAAAUCAUUCAUAUCUUGUAUAGUGGGCUAAGAGGCUCCAUGGAUUAUCAAGUUGGGUUCCACCCAUAGGAUGCUCCAUGGGAGUUACAAACCCAUGGGUCAUGGAAAUGAAGAGUCAUGACACAUUAGGGUUUACAUGGUGUAACCCUAGAUGUGUCAACACUAUAUAAGAAUCCCAUUCUCCACCAAAAUCUGCUACACAUAUGAAACAAGAGGGCUAGGCCAAUUUCAAGAAGUGUGUAUUCUCUCAAAAGUCUUCCCAAGAGCAUUUGGUAUUGUGUGGAGCAUUUGAGGCAUCACACUUGGGGUGCUAGGCUCACAAGGUUUCAAGGAACAUAAGCAACAACAAGGUAAGUUAUUCUAUCUUUCAUUCAAGUUAGAAAUUGUUCCCCAUGUAUGCUAGAUAGGAAUAUAACCUUGGAAUUCAACUUUGCAUGAUAAUUAGACAAACAUAGAUCCAAGGUUAUUAGGGUUGCAUGUACACUUAGGAAGUGUUAGAAUGCUCAAAACCCAUCAGUAGUAUCAGAGCCUAGGCUUGUUUGUUUGUUAUUUGUGCUUAAAAGUUGAAGAAAGUCGAAAAUCUUGCUGUCUGACUGAUGGACUCGGCGAGUCCAUGGGGAGGACUCGUCGAGUUCAUGUGUAUCUUCAACCUACUCGGCGAGUAGGUUUAUGCACUCGGCGAGUAGGGUCGACAGAGUGCAGAAUUUCGACUUGAGUUGCUGGAAAUGGAUUAGAAUCAUUACCCUAAAAUGUUUUGGUACUUGAAAACUUAUUUUAGAAGGUGUAAUGUCUUUUCUAACUCAUUUACAACAACUAGUUAUCAAAAUUACAAAGAUUAAAUGUGAUUUUGAUUCUUGAAAGUGUUCAUAUUCAUAUUCUUGUUCUUAUGAUGUUUAGAUGAUCAUAGGAAUUAUUUGUAACCUAUGUGGUAGAUUAAUUCAUGAUCAUAAUGUGUUUUAAUGGAGUCCAUAACUUGUCCUCAAGUUAUGGAAAACCAAAAGUCUCUUGGAUUAAAAACCAUUAAAAGAACACAAGAGUUAGGAAAAAUGAAAAGUCCUCAUUUUAUUACUCUAUUAAACUCAUAAGUUACAAGAAAUGAAAAGUUUUGAAAGUUUACAAAACUUGCCCUCAAGUUUUGGAACAAGUAAAGUUAAGUUAAAACUUUAGUUCCAACCCCUAGAAUUUUAAAAGUUAAAAUUCAACCCUUAUACUUAUAUUAUUAUGAUUUAAUAAUUAUAUAUAUAUGUAUAAGAACAAAGUCGUCUUACCGCUAGUACGCCUCAUUCACGAAGCCGGUCUAUAAGGUGGGUAUAAGGUUGUUGCCUAUAAAAUGGUGACUUAAUGGGUGUCCACUCUCACCCACCGCUUGCUUGAUCGGUGGAGGGUCGUUAGCCGAACGGGUAAGACAAGGACUUAUUAAUUCUCAUUCAAAGUAUGAUGAAUAUUAUAAAGUAACUAAAUGUUUUAUUAAAUUCCCAAUCUUAGUUACUUUAGGAAAAAUGUGAAUAAGGUGCUAUUCCAUGAAAUUACACUUUACACUUUGAUUAAGUCGUUGGUGGAGCGUGUGUGGUUAACCGGCACACUAACUUGGACUUAACAAGGUAGGUAAAGGGUGACUUAGGGUUUAUUAUAGUAUCGAUGGAGCGUGUGUGGUUAACCGGCACAUCGAUUGAGUGAUAAACUUUAAGGGUACCAAGUGAUUUGCAUGGUUACUUCACACCUCGUUUUGUGAUCCUCGGUAUCCCAGUCACAAAACUUGGAGGGCACACUCGAGAUUGAAACAUGCCUUUGAAAAGUUCAUUGAAUCUCAAAGAAUCUUGGAAUUUAUAAGAACCAAUCAAAACCUAAUAUGUAAUAUUUUGGUUUUCGUGGUGGAAAUUGGUGAAUCGUCAUUCACCUACCUUUCAAAUAUGGUAUAGCUUAGAUUACGACAUACCUCUUCUAAGUUAUAUUAUAUUGUGAUUGGAUCCUAGCCUUAAUAUUACAUUUGGGUGUUUUAUUAAGGACUCUCUUAUAUCUAAACUAAUCUUGUCCUCUUUUCUUCAGAUGUCUUUCAACAAUGCUUCUGGCUCUAAUCCUAAUGGCUCCUUUACCCUUAUGAACUUGUGUGGGAAAGUCACCUUUGAUGGAUCCAACUUCAAUGAGUGGAUCAGAAACAUCAGGAUGAUUACCCGCUAUGAGGAUAAAGAAUAUGUCCUUGACAAGGAGCUUAAGGAGAUUGAUGAGACCACUGAAACUCCCCAGGAGAUUGCUAACUUUCAGGCACAUGAAAGGGAUGCUACCAAAGUAGCAUGCAUCAUGAUGGCCACGAUGACAGCGAAACUCCAAAAAUCCUAUGAGGAUUUCUACCCUUAUGAAAUGCACCAAGAUCUGAUGGAUGUAGUUGUCAAAAUGGUUUAUCUCAUGUCAAAUCUGAUCCUUUUAUCCAUGAUAACAACCAUGAUGAAGGACGGGGAAUCCGUCACGAGCCACAUGCAGAAAAUGCAAAGGUAUGUGGAUCGUUUGCUGAAGCUUAAUGUGAACUUCCCUGAGGAUCUUGCAAUAGAUAUCAUUUUGCACUCCUUACCAUCGUGCUAUGAUCAAUUCCGCAUGACAUAUCACAUGAAUAAGGAAGAGGUCACACUCAGCAAACUUCAGGGACUUCUCAAGACCGUAGAAACAGGUCUUAAGGGGAAGUCGGUUGCUAUCACUCCUACUCCAAACUCAACUCCGGUUUUGGCAAUUGGGAAAAGUCGAUGGAGGAAGAGAAAGAGAUCCUCGAAGGGUACCAAGGCUCGGACCCUUGAUGGCUCUUCUUCAAGUGGAACCAAGAAAGGUUUCGUCACUCCUUCUUCUGACCCAAAAGAGGCUGAAUGCUUCUAUUGCCAUGAAAAAGCUCAUUGGAAGCGGAACUGCCCAAAAUACCAGCAAGAUGUGAAGGAUGGGAAAGUUAAACCCAACCAUGCAGGUAUUUACACUAUCAUUUCUAAUAACUCACCCCAUUCUAAUUCUUGGGUCCUUGAUACCGGUUGUGGUAUUCAUAUUUGUUGUGACUUGCAGGGACUAAGAAGAAGUGAGGAUGUGGAGCAAGGAAGGAUAAACUUGAUCAUGGGGAAUAGGAAAGCUAUACCUGUUACCAAGAUUGGAGUUUAUACUUUAUCGCUAAGUAGUGGGUUUAGUUUAGAUUUGAAUAAGUGUUGUUAUUCGCCAGGAAUGGCAAGAAAUAUUAUUUCCUUUCAUGCUUUGUACAAACAAGGGUUUACCUUUUCAUUUAAUAAUGAAGUUGGUUCUAUAGAUGUUUUCUAUAAUAAUGUCUUUUAUUUUAAAGCAUUACCUUGUGAUGGUGUGUAUGAAGCUGUAUCUGUUGUAGAUAACUUGGGAAAUAAUGUUUUGUGUAUUGAUUCUACUAAUAAUAACUUGGAUAAAGCAUCUUUAUGGCAUUGUCGUCUUGGACAUAUAAGCAAGAAACGCAUAGGCCAACUCCAAAAGGAUGGAGUCUUGGAGUCGUUUGACCUAAAGUCAGAUGAUAGUUGCGAAUCAUGCUUACUUGGAAAAAUGACAAAGUCACCCUUCACAGGCUCGUGUGAGAGGGGUGAAGGUUUGUUGGACCUUGUACACACGGAUGGGUGUGGAGUAUCUUAGUUCAGAGUUCCUUGACUACCUAAGCGAAUGUGGGAUUGUCUCACAAUUGACACCUCGCAGGACACCACAGUUGAAUGGUGUGGCUGAGAGGUGUAAUUGAACCUUGUUGGAUAUGGUUCGUUCCAUGAUGAGUCGAGCUACGCUACCAAUCUCAUUCUGGGGGUAUGCCUUAGAGACUGCCGCCCAUAUUCUUAAUCUAGUCCCUACAAAGAAAGUUGCCAAAACUCCUCACGAGAUGUGGACUGGUAAAGUACCUAAACUAGACCACAUCAAGAUUUGGGGUUGCGAGGCUUUCGUGAGACGCGAGACUCAUGAUAAGCUCGAACCUCGAAGCGAGAGGUGUAUUUUCAUCGGUUACCCACAGCGAUCCUUUGGUUACCUCUUCUACAGACCUAGUGACAAUGUGGUCUUUGUAGCAAGAAGAGGAGUCUUUCGAGAAAGAGAGUUUAUAAGCCAAGGAGACAGUGGGAGGCAAAUUGAUCUUGAAGAAAUUCAAGAAUCAAGCGGUGAAGGAACUUCAAACUCUAGCCCUCAACUUGAGGAGGAAACUCCUGUUGAGCCAAUUGACAAAUCUGUACCUCUGAGACGUUCCACGAGAGUUAGGAGUGCACCUGAGCAUUACUAUGGAUUCCAUAUUACUGCAGAAGGUGAGACACUUAUUAGUGAUGAGACACUAGUAAGUCAAGAUGACCCUAACAGCUACGAGGAAGCCAUGGCAGGCCCCGAGUCUGCUAAAUGGAAAGAGGCUAUGGAUAGCGAGAUACAAUCCAUGUAUGACAAUCAAGUUUGGAACUUGGUUGAAAAUGUACCAGGUCGUAAGACAGUAGGGUGCAAAUGGGUCUUCAAGAAGAAGACCGACAUGGAUGGUAAAGUACACACUUAUAAGGCUAGACUGGUUGCAAAGGGCUUCUCUCAAAUUCCUGGAGUGGAUUAUGAUGAGACCUUUUCUCCGGUAGCCAAGAUUAAGUCUAUUCGGGUUCUGUUAGCCAUAGCUGCAUUUCAUGACUAUGAAAUAUGGCAGAUGGAUGUCAAAACCGCUUUCCUUAAUGGAAAGUUGGCUGAAGAUGUUUACAUGAGUCAGCCAGAGGGUUUUGUCAGCAACGAGUACCCUAAUAGAGUGUGUAAGCUUGAGAAAUCCAUUUAUGGAUUGAAGCAAGCACCUCGCAGAUGGAAUCUUUGCUUUGAUGAAAAGGUCAAGGAAUUUGGCUUUUCUAGGAGUGAAGAUGAAUCUUGUGUGUAUGUCAAGGCUAGUGGGAGUAUAGUUAGCUUUUUGGUAUUGUAUGUGGAUGACAUACUACUCAUAGGAAACGACAUUCCAACCCUGCAGGAAGUAAAGUCCUGGCUUGGGAAGUGUUUCGCUAUGAAGGACCUUGGUGAAGCUGCCUAUAUUCUAGGGAUAAGAAUCUUGAGAGAUCGGAGUAAAAGACUAAUUGGACUUAGUCAGAGUACCUACUUGGAUAAGGUGCUGAAGAGAUUCAGCAUGCAGGAUUCCAAGAAAGGAGAGUUACCCAUCCAGAGUAACACCAGAUUGAGUAAGACACAAAGCCCUAGCACUGAGGCUGAGAUAGCAGAAAUGAGUCGAACACCUUACGCUUCGGCUGUAGGAUCGAUCAUGUAUGCUAUGACGUGUACUCGACCCGAUGUAGCUUUUGCCUUGAGCAUGGUUAGCAGGUAUCAGGCGAACCCUGGCAAGGCACACUGGACUGCGGUAAAGAAUAUCCUCAAGUACCUACGGAGGACUAAGGACUGGGUCCUUACCCUCGGUGGGAGUGAUGACUUGAGAGUUGUAGGGUAUAGUGAUGCUAGCUUCCAGACUGAUAGGGAUAAUUUCCGCUCUCAGUCGGGCUGGGUCUUUACCCUAAACGGAGGAGCAAUUUCUUGGAAGAGUUCCAAGCAAGAGACAGUGGCAGAUUCUACUUGUGAAUCAGAGUAUAUUGCAGCUAGUGAAGCAGCAAAGGAGGCGAUAUGGCUGAAGAACUUCAUUGGAGACCUUGGAGUUGUACCAGCUAUUAAAGAGCCAAUGGAAAUUUUCUGUGAUAGUGAAAGUGCUGUUGCCUUAGCCAAGGAACCAAGGGAUCAUGGGAGAUCCAGACACAUCGACAGAAAAUACCAUUUCAUUAGACAUCGGAUCGAAGAAGGACUCCUCGUGGCAAAGAGGGUAUCAUCGGAUGAGAACCCAGCAGAUCCCCUCACGAAGGGACUGAGUAGGGUUAAGCAUCUCCAGCAUGCUCGGAGCAUAGGGCUGAAGGAUGAUAUAAGUUUUAGUAGUUAGAUAACCCAGAAAUUUGUAAAGUGUAAUUGACAUUAGAUGAUGAAUAAAAGGUGUUUUAUUUAUGAGUAAAGUGUUGCUAUCUCUUGUCGAUCGUUUACUAUAUUUCUUUUGCAUGUUUUGACUUCCAGAAUAAUUUUGUUUGGUAUAACAUAUUAUUCAAACCUCCACAGUCGGUCAUAUGUCGGAAGUAGGUAUGAAUCAAGACUGUCAUGAUGGGUUGUAGAGGUCUAAGGUGUUGGACAAGGCUACAACAAUCAUGAGUGCUCAUAAGUUCUGAGCAUUGGACUCAACCCACGCUCACUGGAAUCACUUCAUGGAAUUCUAUCUCGAGUGAUCGUGAGACGGUAAUAUCAUAUAAGUCUUCAAACCUAGAGAUAUGAUUUGUUACUUACAAGUUGGUUAUGCAUUGACUGUACGAAACCGCAUUGGUAACUCGAUGUUAUAAAACGUACUUUUGUGUGUAAUUCAAUGAGUGGUAGAACAAACAUAUGAGUCGAAGUUUAUCUGUUCCUUCUUGGAUUAGAAGCUGAUAUCUGGGCCCCUCGAUGAUUUUGUUUUGACCUAUGUACCGGGCCCGGUCAGAACUAAGUUGAUGUGUUCAAUUAAGUUCUUUGUCAAACAAAUCGGAAAUCGAGAAACAAACUGCUGGACAAUAAGUAAGACAUUGUUCCAUGUAUUUGUCCGGCUGAUAUCUAGAACAGAGGAUUAUAUGAUCACUUAUCUUAAAUGGCGUAUCAUCAUCUUCUCAGUUCCGAGAGACCUUGAAAGAGCUACGAUUGCCGGUCGGUUCCUGAAGUACUAGAGAUAUAGUUAUUAGACUUAUCCAAGUGGGAGACUGUUGGAUAAGGUGUCUAAGUCCAUAACUAUUUCGGGCUUGUACUUGACCCGACCCGGCAUGGUCCAUUUGGGUUGCAUGGCACCAUGCAAUUGGAUAGACUAAAUGAGAGAAAUAACACUUGGAGAUUAUUAAUAUAUUAUAAGUUCUAAUAUAUUAAUAAUAUUAUUUGAUUAGUUUGAUCAAGAAUUAAUUAAGAAUUAAUUAAGUGAUCAAAAGAUAACUAAUUAAAUAUAUGGGUUGAUUAUGUAAAUCAUUCAUAUCUUGUAUAGUGGGCUAAGAGGCUCCAUGGAUUAUCAAGUUGGGUUCCACCCAUAGGAUGCUCCAUGGGAGUUACAAACCCAUGGGUCAUGGAAAUGAAGAGUCAUGACACAUUAGGGUUUACAUGGUGUAACCCUAGAUGUGUCAACACUAUAUAAGAAUCCCAUUCUCCACCAAAAUCUGCUACACAUAUGAAACAAGAGGGCUAGGCCGAUUUCAAGAAGUGUGUAUUCUCUCAAAAGUCUUCCCAAGAGCAUUUGGUGUUGUGUGAAGCAUUUGAGGCAUCACACUUGGGGUGCUAGGCUCACAAGGUUUCAAGGAACAUAAGCAACAACAAGGUAAGUUAUUCUAUCUUUCAUUCAAGUUGAACAUUGUUCCCCAUGUAUGCUAGAUAGGAAUAUAACCUUGGAAUUCAACUUUUCAUGAUAAUUAGACAAACAUAGAUCCAAGGUUAUUAGGGUUACAUGUACACUUAGGAAGUGUUAGAAUGCUCAAAACCCAUCAGUAUGGGCCCGUACUCGAUACAGGGAGUAUUUUGAAGGUUCUAAGUAGCAGAUUGAGGAGUGAUGUUAUGGUUCGUGUACCAUACAGCGGAGCAGAUUGAGGAGUGAUGUUAUGGUUCAAGUACCAUACAUCGGAGCAGAUGAAGGGGUGAUAUUAUGGUUCGAGUACCAUGCAUCGGAGCAUAUUGAGGAGUGAUGUUAUGGUUCGUGUACCAUGCAUCGGAGCAGAUUGAGGAGUGAUGUUAUGGUUCAAGUACCAUGCAUCAGAGUAGAUUGAGGAGUGAUGUUAUGGUUCGUGUACCAUGCAUCGGAGCAGAUUGAGGAGUGAUGUUAUGGUUCGUGUACCAUACGUCAUAGCAGAUCGAGGAGUGAUGUUAUGGUUCGAGUACCAUACAUCAGAGCAUAUUGAGGAGUGAUGUUAUGGUUCGAGUACUAUGCAUCGGAGCAGAUUGAGGAGUGAUGUUAUGGUUCGAGUACCAUAUAUUGUAGCAGAUUGAGAAGAGAUGUCAUGGGCUGAGUACCAUGGUUCUUAGCAAAUGAUGCUUGUGAUUUUCCGGUUGUUCGGUCAGGAUUGAUUGUUGGAAUUUGGACACGAUGGGGUUUUAGGCCUGAGGACCAUGAUUGAGUCUGAAGAGGCAUUCCUUGAGAGGGAGGUCGAGAGUAUUUUAAAGUAUUUUGGUAAGAUGUCAGAUGUAGUCGCAAGACUCAGGCAUUAACAGAGAAGGCAUUCAUGGGGGAUUGCGGUUUGAGUGAGAAAUCAUCCAAUGGAGGAGAUGUCACCUUCUGUGACCUGAUGGGUGCCAAUUAUGUUUCCUGUGGGAAGUAGGAGAGGCAUGAGAUUUCAGUUUUGGGUUUAGGAGUAAACCUUAUGGGUUGACAUUAACGACAAUUUUUUUUCCACCAGAGUAUCAGUCAGCAUGUCUGCCACGAGGAAAUGAACUAGCAUGAACAGGUAGUCAGUGGGGACUGAGAUGGUCAAGGACCACAUUACACCUUAAAUGAGUAUAGUAGGGUGCGUGGUAGCGGUAUCAACGUUUAACCUAGUCAAGUAUAUCAGAGUGGUGGCUCUUCUGUCUAUGAUGAGUAUUGAGUAUGGUAGUGGAGUCCCUAUUAUUGUGAUGAUUCAUUUGUUGGAACGGAGGUUGCGAAGUCGAGGAUGGGGAGUAUGAUGAUUUAUUGUUUCAGUCUAUGAGUCAGUGAUAGUACUGGACAGUUGAGAUGUUCAAUAUUGGGAUGGUAUGAGACUUCGUAUGGCUAAAGGUAGUCAUAAUGAGGAGUUCCUAAGGAUUUCAUCGGAGAUUUACGGUAAUUGAGGUUUCUUGAUCUCUACAUGGGGAGAUCAUUGGGCGUUGUGUGGCACCUUCCAAGCGUAGGUGCGAUGUUUCUGGUGUAAACCGUCUGUGGGGUAGAUUGUUAAUGUGUCAAUUAGUGAUGGUCCGAACCCUAAGUGGGGGAGAACUGGGUGUUUUAUUGAGGGAACCAGAGAUUUGUGCAAGAGCGGUUAGGGUUGGAUACAGAGACCUGCGGCUCGAAUCCAUGAGACCAGGGUCAUUGGUGAUCAAGGAAAGGUGCAGAGUGAGAUAAUUCAUGUGGUAUAUGUCUGAGAAAGGGAUGGGUGUCUCCACAGCAGGCGGCCAAUGGUCAGGAAUCUGGUGGUGGUCAGGGUCAUUUCAAGUGGAAGGCUCGUGAUGAUGGUAUGGGCAGUUGAAAACCUAUGGGUCGAAGUAUGGAUUGUUUAUGCCCAUUUUUGGGUUGGAUAGAAGAUUAUCAAGCAGCCAACUCCCGUGUCGAUAUGCGUAUUCUUGCUUGGAUUUGAUCAGUAGAGAAAAGGGUUUCGGAGGAUCAUCAGCAUGUUCUAAAGCGAUAGCGCUUUCUUUGUAUUCCAAUUAAGUGUUUGGAUACACCGAAGUUGCGCAUUGGGUAAAAUGAAGAAUUAAUUAUGGGGUUCAGAGGAAAUAUAAUGUCAUAUUUGUAUGGUGCUGGGAGUAAGAGAUCAGUGGUUGAGGCAGGACAUUGUGAUGUUCUGUAAAGGUGUUUCGUGGUACCCGGGUAUAACGUCCCGAUUUCGGAGUUAUUUAGAAUCUUGAAUUUGAGACGACUAGUGGUGUAUCAUGUAUCUACAGUUCCAGUGGGAGCCCUUCGGUUAUUGAAAUCAAGAUGGAUUAUUUAAGGAAGUGGAUCUCCACAGAGGUAGGUACUACGUUAUAGCGGUUGCCGCUAGAGUCUGUGAUGCAUAUUUGGGACAAGUGUGUGUAACUAUCUAUGAUAGUCUACAGUGCAUGAGUUAGUGGACGUAGUGUGGCGUUGUAAUGAUAAUGAGAGUAUGGGGUGAAGCUACGGGGAGUCGUAGUAUUCACCAGUCAGAGGGUGUUGUGAUGCUACGGGGAGCCAUAUUACUCACAAGUCAGAGAGAGGGAGUCGUGGUACUACGGGGAGCCGUAGUACUCACUAGUCAGUUGGUGUUGUGGUACUACGAGGAGCCGUAAUACUCACUAGUCAGAGGCUGUCAUGAUGUUGCGAGGAGCCAUAGUACUCACUAGACGACAAGAAAGUGUGAUGAUGGAGUGUUUUUCGAUCAGUGUAUGAUGCAAAAGAGUUUUAGGCUUGAGUAGCCCUAGUAUUGAGUUUUUUAGCCUGGUAGUUGAACCAGGGGCGAGACUGGGGUCUCCAUCUCUGUCGAGAAUCAUUAUAUUUUGUUUUUAGUUGUGGUUGUCUCAACAGGAGGGAAUUGGGAUAGUGGGCAUGAGGAAGAAGUUAGUGAGAUAUUUUGGAUCAUGUUAUGGGUGACCUUUGGAGGUUCAGUUGUGGAGUCAAAGACUGACCUGGUGCUCAGUAUCGAAGAGGGAUAUGAAAAAUAAGCUAGAGCUUAUCAUGGUGAUGUCCGAGGACACUUCAGAGCGAGCGAACGAUUCAGACGCUCGAGGACAUGCUUCGGGCAUGUGUAUUAUAUUUUGAAGGGAGUUGGCACACGUACUUACCCUUGGCUGAGUUUUCCUAUAGCAACAGCCGUCAUUCGAGCAUUGGUAUGCCACCCUUUGAGAUGUUGUAUGGGAGGAGGUGUUAGACUCCCAUUUGUUGGGGAGAGGUAGGGCAACGUGUGAUGGGUAGUACAAAGAUUGUGCUUCAAACGACCGAGCAGAUUUAGCAGAUCAGACAGAAGAGUUAUGCCGAUAGUCGACGAUCAGAGCUCGAGUUCCAGGUCGGUGACUUCGUACUCCUCAGGGUAUCCCCUUGGGAAGGAGUGAUCCGGUUCAGGAAGAGGGGGCAAGCUGGGACCCCGAUAUAUUGGCCCGUUCUGAGUGAUUGCGAGGGUAGGCAGGGUAGCCUACCGGUUGAAGUUACCUGCAGAGUAAGUGUAUAGUCGACGAGUCGGCAGUGGUACCAUUAGAGGAUAUUCCGGUGGUGGCUAGGGAUCAGAAGAUCAAGGUUCUGAGGAACAAGGACGUGCCCCUGGUGCAGGUCCAGUGGCAGCAUCGGAUAGGGUCAGAGUUGACUUGGGAGCCUGAGCGAGAGAUGCGUGAACAACAUCCAGAGUUGUUUGCAGAGUAAGACUUCAAGGACGAAGUCUGAUUCUAGUGGGGGAGAAUUCUAACAUCCGGGUUCCCAGGUAUAUUAUUUUAUUCAUUUAUUUGGGGUUUGUGGAGGGACUCGGUGAGUUGGUGCUUAGACUCGCCGAGUAGGGUCGCGAAUUCUUAUCCGGGUUGGUGAUCGGACUCGGCGAGUUCAUGGGUGGACUCGGCGAGUCCAUGCUAUUUAAUGAAAACCUAAUUUCGUGGGUUUGGGACCUAUUUAAAAGCCCUUAUGGCUGUCAAUUGCGGCUACCAAAUCCCAUAGAGAAACCCUAAGAGAGCUGGAGCAUUUGUGAGGGAGAAAAGGCCAUUUUCGAUCCUUGUGUUAGUGUUAUUACAAGAAGAAGGUGACCAGGGCAAGAGGGGGCCGAAGAGGGUGCUAUUCUGUGAAGUUCAUAGCCAGAGACAUCAUUCAUGAGGUAUUGAUUCGACCCUUCUUUAGUUUUGGUGAUUAUUUUUGGAGUUAGGGUUUUCUAGACCCUUUAGAGACUAGAUUUGGUGGACAUUUGGCUCCUUCUUGUGUCAAGGCUUUGGAUCUGGAUCCAAAGAGGUCCAGAGACCUUAACCCUCUGAGCUUUAUGUGUAUUAAUGGAAGGAAUGAGACUAGGAUGUCAUAUUAGGGGUCAUUUCUUCGAAUAGAGUUCUUGAGCCCUUGCAUGAGCACCAAGAUCUGAACUUUACGUGAUUAACAUGCCUGGGAAGGCCAUAUUUAUAGAUUGGAGGAACGGAUAUGACCUCAGGAGGUCAUUUCAGUUUGAGCAGGGCAUGAACUCGUCGAGUCCAAGGGAAGACUCGACGAGUAGGGCUAGGGUUUUCCCGAUAAUCACACAGUUGGUGACUCGCUGAGUUGAGGAACGACUCAGUGAGUCUGAAGGGAACUAGAGGACUUGGUCCACGACUAGAAUCGUCGACUCAAGAGUCAGACUCGACGAGUUGGGACGAGUUGUCCCAUGAUUCGUGAUCAGUGUUGAUUUGAUGAGUGGAGGGUUGACUCAGUGAGUCAAGUGAGGACCAGGAGUGUGAAGGACACGCAUGGACUCGCCGAGUCACAUUGGUGCACUCAACGAGUCUGGUCAAGGUUGACAAUUGACUUCUUUGACUUUGGGGGUUGAGUCAAUGAUUGGACAUUAGAGUCAAGGGAGUGGUAAAAUGGUCUUUUACCCUUCUGUGUGUGCCAAGAGAGGGUUGAGUCCAGUCUCGAGAGUUAUAUUUAUGAAAGUAUUUACUUUAUGUGAUUAGGCGGAGGCUAGAUCGUAUUUCUACCGAGAUAGAGAUUUACCGAGGCAUCUAAGGUGAGUCUUCUCACUAUACUUUACCUAGAGUGGUAACAGAGUUAUGUGACAGAGUAUUUAGAGUUAUGUGAUAGAGUAUCUUGUAUGCUAUCUAUGUUAUGUGUUGCACUGCGUUAUUUCUAUGUGAUUUAUGUUGUGCAUGUUCCAGAGUUAGGACCGGAAGGUCAACAGAGUUAUGGGAUGGAAAUCCCCUAAGACACUUGGAUCGGAAGAUCCUACAGAGUUAUGGCCUGGAAAGGCGUAUGUGUUAGAGUGGUAUUUUGGGGAACUCACUAAGCUUCAUGCUUAUAGUGUUAUGUGUUAUGUGUUUCAGGUUUUCUCAGGAUCACGGGACAGCACCGGCUCGAUUGUACACACCAGAGAAAGUGUUUGUUUUGAGGAUCCUGGUUUAUUAAAUUGAUUGAACAAAAGACUCAUGUAUUGUAAUUUAAAUAAAAAGGAGAUUUUUAUGAAAAGUGUUAAAGAGAUAAACAAUUUUAAAUAAAAACUUUUGUUUUGAAAAUUUCGGUGUACACCUAAGGACCACUUCCAGGGAAACUAGUCCCUACCAUACAUAUAACAUACUAUCCAGGUAAACUUCAUAACCAACACAUAACCAGACCAAGAUAAUUAUCACAAAGACCAUUAUCUUUUAAAUACCCCUUUUUGGUGGGCCAGCGUUGUGGCCUUAGACCCACCCGUACUGGAAGGUAACUCACCACGAUAUCGGGCAGUGUCUGAACUAUUCUUGGCGCAUAAGUCAACUCCCAACGACUCCUCGAUCCGUACACGACAACCUUCAAGUCAACAUACAUUACAUACAACCCUAAACAGGGUCAGCCCAACUUCAAUCAAAGUUGACAUUGGACAAAGUCAACUUUCAGUUGACCUGAGUCGCCAAGUUGGCCAACCAACUUGUCGACUCCAUGUUUCUCUAAUCCCACACAACACCCCGGCUCCACUCGUUGAGUCUAGCAAAAACUCGACGGGUUCUCCUUCAACCAUAACAUCGGGACCAUCUUCAUCCGACUCGUUGAGUUCCUUCUUGAACUCGUCGAGUUCAUCUCCAAUUUAAGUACUUGUCCAAUCUAUGACUCACCGAGUUGUAUGAUCAACUCGUCGAGUCCAUCUUCAAAGAAUGGGAGAUUGUUAUGGACUCGCCAAGUCUGCUCAUAUCACUCGCCGAGUCCCAUGACUUCCAGGUCCCUUUUUCGCGUCUAAACCCACAAGGGACUUCCUUCUUAACACUAACCCAUUCACAGAAAGUGUUUGGUGCACAUUGGUCUCCGACUCGUCGAGUGCCCAAAGCAACUCGACGAGUCUAGCCUUGACCAACUCCAUACGUUCAAUUUAAAUGAGAUCUAACACACCAAAACCAUAGAUCUGGCCUCCUAAUGUCCAUUUUAUACUUAAGGUUCCAAACUUGAUGCACAUGCAUGGGGUUUUUAGCUCAAAAAUCCAUAUAAAGUGUCCUACAAUGUGCAUGGGGCUCUCAUGGCCCUAGAGUUGGCACCUUUUUGCCAUGAGACCCUUCUUAAGGCCCAGAUCUGAAGGUUAGAGUCCACAUAACACCCUUUAAAUCCGAAAAAGGCUUGAAAGCCCUAAAUGCACCCAAGAUCUACAAUCUAAAGAUGAACAACCAAAUGGAAGACCAAAGCAGGGGCAUUUUACCUUGAUUAAGCUGAAGAUGGAAUGAGAUUCUUGGAUCCACAAACCCCAAGUUGAAUACUCAAGCUCCUCUUCUUCCUUCCAAGCUUCACAAGUGAACAAAAGCACCAAAAUGGCCUUAACACACACACAAACGGCUAGGGUUUCGAUAUGCAGCUCUAGGAGAGUGUUAGGGACAAGGGAGGCUGAGUUAAGGCGUUUAUAUAUGGUGUAAACCCUCAUAUUAGGGUUUUUGUCCAAACAGCACGGACUCGUCGAGUCCGGUCUCUGACUCGCCGAGUCAGCCACUUAACUCCCGUGUGCAAACCGCUUCUACUCGACGAGUUGGGCCAUCAACUUGCCGAGUCUCAGGCCAAAAUGCAAAAUACUAAAUUUUAAAAAUACGUACCAGGAACCAGGUGUUACAAGGUCACUACAACAUAGUAGCAUACUUGAUACCAGAACAUAGAUCCAACAGAUCCCUAUGGCAUCCCUCUACUAUUAUCAAAUAACCGAAACUAGUGGGCCAACAUUGGUGCCUUCGACCCACGUGUACGGUGAGGUGAAACUCACCUCGAUAUGCGUAUUGGUAACAACGAAUAAAUCUACCAUUUUCAACCCACUUCAAUCACCUACAAGAAGAUACUUGAGUCAAUACCCGAUCACAGGUCAUAGUCACUUGCAACAGUGAUCACCUCACAUGAAAUGACGAUUACGGUUUCAUAUAAAAUAACGAUUAGGGUUAAAUAAUAACACUUAACCCAUUAAAGACUUAAUCAACUAAGGGUAGGAUUGAUUAAGUUUUGACUUAGUCAUUCUCUGAUGAAAUAAUAAUCCAAUCAACAACCCAAAUACAUGCCCGAUCAUUGUCCAAAUAGAGUUCCCCGAUUCUAGGGUUUUCACAUAAAAUGAUAAAUAGGGUUAUUGUUCCUCACUAAAACCCUUAAGGACUUAAUCUAUUAAGUCCAAUAUUGCAUUAAGUUAAUUUUAGGGGCAUCAUUAAGUAUUAUUUAAAGUUUAAUUAACAGCUUUAACGUGGGUCCCGACCAACUCCGAAAACUAGGUUUCUUGACAUUAGGCUUUUCUAAACCCUAAUUAGGGUUUCCAACUCCACAAGUUAGAUGAUUAGCUAAUUAAAUAAAUAUAUAUUUUAAUAAAUCGGGCACCACCCACUGCCACCUCGGGCAGUGGUGGUCGGCGUCGGUCAAUGGCGGCAGGGGGUGACAACUGCCAUUUCAAGGGCGGGAGUUAUAAAUUUUAGGUCCAAAGACCAUCAAAGGCCUCUUGGUUAACACAUAACAUUAAUCCAACACCCACACACGCACAAAACCACCCAAAGUGGCGGCUGGUGGUGGUAGAACGGCGGCAAAAGGCGGCAGUCACCACCUCACGGUGGUGGUGGUGGGUUUCCUUUGGUGUUUCCAGAUUAACAAGGCAUAGACACACCCUACAACACCCAUAACACCUAAUAAUGCCACACAAUCGGCUGAAACUAACACACACACGUAUUACACACACAAACACUUAACAACGAUGGUGAGCGGCGACAGCUAGAUGGUUGUCGUUGGUUCCACGCACAGAAGAAGGUGAAGAAGUCACAGAAAAACACAUCCUUUCUGGUGAAACGAAUGCAACAGUAACACCCUGCCACUUCUUGCUUUGAUUCUCGUACUCGACUUCUCCAAUUUCUCGCCGGAAGUGACAACAACGACAAAAGCAAGGUGAUGGGUCCUCGGCUGGAUGAAGAAACAGAAGAGCGAAGAGGGUGGGAAGGGGUGUGGCUUUAUCGGCGAGAUACAACGACAACAAUAGCUCUGAACUAUGUCUUCUGACCUCCCUUACAAAUGUGACAAUAACAACUCAAUGUUUUACGAUCUCGAUGGUGCAGGGAGCGGCGGCUGGAGGAGAAGGAGUAUAAGGGUGGUGGCUGGAGCCAUUUAGGGUCAGGGUUUUUAGGUGUAAUGAUCUUAAAUGAGGAAACACAAGGGAGGGGUGAUGGGCUUUAGCCCCGCCUCCUCCAAUUCAAAAAUUUUCCAUUUUAACACUUUUAGUCCCUCCAUCCCCCUUGCUUUUCAAAUUAAGCCCAUUAAUUACCAAAUAGCCCCUGUUUCGCAAAUUCCUCCACAUUUCAAGUCCUAAUGUUACAAUAUAGACCGCAAAUUUUGGAAUUUAUAUCAUUUAACUCCUUAUCGCUAACAAUGAUAAAUUACUAAGGAUUUAGGGCUUAUUAUUUAUUUUUAUUUAUUUAUUUAUUUACUAUUAUUAUUAUCUUUAUUUAUUUUUUUACCUAUUUUAUUUUUAAAUAGAAUGUUACAAGACAGCCAGAGAUUAUUGACUUAGUGUGGCAGAGUUUGGGUUCUGGUAUUUAGGGAGUCAGGAAAAAGAUUUAGGAGAAGGAAGAUAAGUCCAAGUUUUCUAUCCAUCCGGGGGCCAUGAAGAUGUACCGAGACCUAAGAUCAAGCUACCGGUGGCCCUACAUGAAGCAGGAAGUUUUUUGGUUUUUUUAGCGGUGUUUGACCUGUAGGAAGGUCAAAGCUGAGCAUUAGAGGCAUCACAGCAAGGUUCAACCGUUACUCAUCCCUAUGUGGAAAUAGGAGGAGAUCACCAUGGACUUUAUCGCAAAGUUACCUUGGACGGCAUGGGGUGUUGAUUCCAUUUUAGUUAUUGUGGACAGGUUGACCAAGAAUGCUUAUUUUAUUCUAAUUUCCAAGAGUAUCUCUGUCGAGAAAUUAGCAGAUAUUUAUUUGCUGUAGGUGGUGGUCAGGCACGGAGUUCCAAUAUCUGUGGUCUCGGACCGUGAUGUUCGAUUCACCUCCAGGUUCUGGAGGAAGUUUCAUAAGGAGUUGGCUACUCAACUGCUUUCAUCGCAACUUACCACCUCCAGACUAAUGAUCAGAGCUAACAAACGAUUCAGACAUUUGACGAUAUGCUUCGGGAUUGUGUUUUAGACUUUGGAGGGAGUUGGGAUACUUACCUCCCACCACCAGAGUUCUCUUAUAACAACAAUUAUCAUGCUAGUAUUGAUCGACCCCCAUUCAAGAUGUUGUAUAUACGGAGGUGUAGGACUCUGGUUUGUUGGGGGAUGUUGGCCAUCGAUUCAUGGGAAGCACUGAAGUGGUGCUUAGGACCACUAAAUUGAGUUAGCAGGUGUGUGAUAAGCCGCAGGUUGCACAAAGCCAUUAGAAAAUCUAUGAUGACCGGCGUCGAUCGGAUCUCAAGUUUUAGGUGGGAGAUUUUGUUUUGCUGAAGGUGUCACCUUGGAAAGGUGUCAUCUAGUUUCAAAAGAAGGGCAAUUUGGGGCCCUGAAUCAUUGGUCCAUUUAGGAUUUAUGCCCGAUUUGGUAGGGUUGCUUAUCGGUUGGAUCUUCCAGAUGAGCUCAGUCAUAUCCAUAAUACCUCCCACGUGUAUCAGCUCCAUAAGUGUGCAGAAGAUGAUGUCGCAUUUAUUUAUUUGGAUGAUAGUCAUGUGGAUGGGAUCCUGAACUAAGUGGAGAAGCCCAUUGUAGUCUUGGAUAGAAAAACUAAAACUCUUCGUAACAAGGUGGUGAAGCUAGUGAAGGUGCAAUGGCAACAAUGGAAGGGCUCCAAAUGGACUUGGGAGUCGGAGGACGAUAUGUGAAAGCAUUACCCAGAUCUAUUUGUGUCAGUGGACUUUGAGGACGAAGUCUAGUUCAAGUGGGGAGAGUUGUGAUACUCAAAUCUAGGUAUUCCAUUUUAGACCUUGAAGUAUUCCUUUUUGGAAAAUGAGGACCUUCCAUACGUUGGUCGUAUAUAUGCGUAUGCUUGAGCAUGCAUCUCGGAGUUGAGGCUCGUAUGUGCGGUGUACGAGCAUGUAUGCAGGACGUACGAGGUCAAAGACGAAAAACCCUAAUUUCAUGACUUGCACCCUAUUUAAACAAACUUAUAUCAUUUGGACCAAACCCUAAUUAGCCUCCAUAGCCUCAUUUCGUCCUUAAACCCUAUUCUUGUAAGACAGUGUGAGAUUUGAGCUUAAAGGUGUGUUUGGUGGUCUUUCUAGAUGGUGUUCAAGAAGAAUAAGGUGGUGUUCAAGUCUAGAUUAAGGAAGGAGCCUUUGGAUCCUGCAUAUAGAGCAUCUUGGAGAGCUUUUGAAGGUAAAAAAUUUGCAUCUUGUCUAUCCUCCUUGCUUGUUGAGUUAUGGUUUGCUAGAGUCCACUUUUGAGUCCAUAAAUCAUCUCUUGGGAGUUUGGGCAACUCCAGAGGUUAGUAAGGUUAGAUAUGAGACUCUUGGACUUGUUUAUAGUAUAAAAAUACAAACUUGAUGUCUUCUAUGGCUUCAUCCAUGAGUUAAGACCUUUGGAAAGGUCUUAAUGAGGUAUAUUGAGUUGUUGGGAUCUUAUAUAGCAUGCAAAGGCAUAAAGUAUCCAACUUUAUUGAAUCGACCAAGAUCUGGAAUUUGAGUGAAGAGCCUGCAUGCAUUAAGCACUUAAUGGAUUUUGUGCAUGAACGGUUUGUACACUGGGCAUACUACGUUGUACAUUGUGCGUACAACCCUUUAGCCCAUAAUGAUAAGUGUACAGAAAAGGUACGCUGGGCGUACACUCUCAGGUAUCUUUGGGCCUUGGCGAACUUCGUACCUUUGGUCCCUAAUGGUUUUGGGCCUGGAUUUGCUUGUGUUUGGGCCUGAAUUAAUCCUUCGGCCAAUGUUGGUAUGUUUGGGUGUUGAAUCAAAAAGUGACCCUCUUGAACUUUUGCUACCGCAGUGCCCAAGCCACCGCAGUCAAGAAAUCUCUUCAUUGACUGUUAUCCAAUGUCUUCAGCACCGCAGUCUAUAUCUUUACUUAGUUUAUUUUUUCUUUUCUGUAAAACACUCUAAUGUACAGUAUGCCUUGCAUGGCUACUCUUAGAGUUGUAAACUGUUCUAUAAAUAGAGAUCAUUUCUAAUGUAUUCAGUACCAGUGUGAAUCUCUUAUCAAAUUCUAAUACACAUCUUCAAGUUCUCAUUCUAUCUUACUUAUCAAAGCUUCUUACUCUCAUCAUCUCUCUUCGGAGCAAGUCACUUGUCACUUAAUCACUAAGCUAGAUCUCACUAACUAACAUGGUUUGAAUGCAUUCCUUGUUAUGAAUCUACUUUUGUGUAUAGUUGAUAUACCAAUUGUUGUCAUUUACAUUUCUUUACUUUUCCGCAUCUAACUCACUAACUUCUAACUCUUAAUAUUAUUGUUGAGCUAACAGAUCCUUCGAGAUUAAUUAUUCCGCUAUAUACUUUUUCUAACAUUUCGUUCAAGUGUGUCUCAAAGUUUUUCUCUCAACAAUUGGUAUCAGAGCCAUAGUGGUUGCUUUUUUAAAAUCGGAACUAUGAUUUUUCGAAGAGCUUUCUAUACCACUAAAGCUCAUUUCUAAACAAAAAAACAACAAAAAAAUCUUCAAAUGGCACAAUCAUUAUCACUGAAUGUCUCCAACAGUGUUGGUGGUUCUAAUCGAGCCCCAAUACUGGUUGCAAAUGAGUAUCAUCAAUGGUCUCAAAUGAUGGAAAGAUAUCUCAAACGACUUUGUAGAGAUGUCUGGAGAUCCAUAGAAGAAGGACCCUAUGUCCCAGUCCUUACACCAGUCCAAACUGAUGGAGCCACAACAACGCUAGGAGGAGGUCAACCAGCUUUGAACCGUCCCACCAAAGAUGAUCUAGACAAGAUGGAAAAUGAUGAUAUUGCCUUUUAUGAAAUCUCUUGUGGAGUUGCUCCUAACAACUUCGACAUCAUCAUAAACUGCAAAUCAGCAAAGGAGAUUUGGGAUGUUCUCAAGAACUUGUACGAAGGUUCAGAGCAGGCUCAAGACAUGAAGCUCACUACAACACUCAAUGAAUUCAACAACUUCAAAGCCCACACCGGUGAAAGUUUGGAAGACUCUUUUAAGAGAUUCAAUUUGAUUGUCACAAAACUGUCCAAUGCGGGCACCAUCCGCAGCAAUCAUGAAACAAAUCUACAGUUCCUUAAUGGCUUGGGAAGACACUGGACAACAGCCAAAAUGAUUGUACAAGGUGACAGGAAGAUUCACUCGUUAUCCCUCUAUAAGCUCUAUGGAGAGUUGCAAGCUCAAGAGUCCACCGUACUCAAGGACUGCUCAGACCACUUGCACUAGUAGCACAAUCACCUCACACUCAAACCUAUCCCACUUCGUAUGACUCACCACCGCAGUCAUAUGAAGCCGAAUCAGAAUAUGACGAUGAAGAAGAGUUUCAAAAUGCCAUCGCUCUUAUCAGUCAAAAAUUCAAUCGCUUACCACCCUCAUUUCGCAAAAACCAACAAUAUAAUUCACCACCUUUCAACCACAACUUUCAAAACAAUCACUUUUGUUCAACCAAGAAUCCUCUCCCUUCACUGCAGCCUCAAAAAACACAGUCUAAAGACGUACCACCGCAGUCCCAAUCAACUGACUCUGGUACCUCUUUAGAAGACAAGAGUGACAUUGUUAUAUGUCACAAGUGCAACAAAGAAAACCAUUUUGCCAAGGAUUUCAAGGCAAACAUACUGAAAGAUAGAGCCUUCUAUCUCAUAAUGGCUCAAGAACUGGAAGACAAAGAAAAGGGAAAAGCCAAAGUUGCUCAAGUGAAAAGGAAUCAUCAAGUGUGGUCAUCAGGAGAUGAAGAUGAAGAUGAUCUCAAUAAAGGAAAAAAGGCAAGAUCUGUAUGGUAGCAACUGCUGAUGAAGACGGCUCAACCAAUCUAAAAAAGAACCAUUGCUAUAUGGCAAAAGAUGUAAAUCUCAGCAUUGUGGAACAGGUAAAACUUAUGAUUCAAACUUUAAAAUACAACUUGCAUGAUUGUCAACCUUUCAUAGACACACUCAAUGACACAUGUGUUGCCGUCCUUACAGACUACAAUAAAGCCUUAGAUGAGAAGAACAUCGCUUCGCAGGAGAUGUUCCACGUUAGAGGACGUUUGGACAAUAAGAGACUCAAAAUGGCAAUGUUAGAGAAAGACUUGAUAUUAGAAAAAGAUGCUAGGAUGUUAAGUGAAACACAACUAGAAAUAGCCUUGAAUCAGAGAGAUUUAGCACAGAGUGAAAUUGUAUGCUUAAAUCUUUUAAUUGAAAAGCUUUUUAAUGAAACUGAGGCCAUUGAGAAUCUUGUUAAUAAUGGGAAUGUUGAUAACACUUUUAAUUGGGGUUGGUCCAAUGGUUACCCAACUAUAACAGACUCCUCACCUCGGUUCACACCGGAACAUCCCUAUGUCCCUCCAGACUGCAACUUCUUGUUCCCAGUCAAUGAAAAAACAUUUCUUGAGGAUAUCCAAGCUCAUUUUGGUAAACUCCAUGAUCUGAGUAAUAACUGUGUUAUAGAGGAAAUUCUCCCUGAAUUUUCUACUCAUGUUGAUAACAUAGUUCAUUCAGAUUCUCAGACAUCAUCUGUAGUCGAUGAGGAAAUUGUUAUUAAAAGUCCUGAAGUCUCAUUAGACUUCCCAUCUCUGCAGUUUUACCACAGUGUUUCUAACCGCAGUCAUGAACUGCAAUCCGUCCCAUUACCCAGUAUCAAAUGUCCCACUGAAGUGUCCAACAAGAAUUACUCUGCGGUAGUCCAAAGCACUACACCGCAGACGAUAGUCAAAAGUUUUAUGACUAUUGAACCAAUUAAUAAUGACUUACCAACUGAAAAUUUUGAAUUUGGUCAAUGUUCUCAAAGUCCUGACUUCUCUAGUUCAGAUGAAUUAAGUCUUUGUUUUUCAAAAUCUUCAAAAGAUUUAAGGAAACCGCAAUUAAAUGUCACUGACUGCGGCUCUCCUAACACCGAAGCAAAAAGAGCUUUUAAAGAAGAAUUUCAUUCCCGUGGGAAGCAACGGGAAAUUCAUUCAAAACAAAAGAAAUCUGUGAAAUGUCCAAAGUCAAAGAAUUCAGAAAAACUUGUUUUCACAAAUUAUCAUUUCAAGAAAAUUGUUUCCAAGAAAACAAAAAGGAAGGAGUUCACUAUUCCUGACACUACUCAAAAAACAUCCAACUCUAAGGAUAAGUCUUUUCGAUCAAAUGGUUUUCGGGUCUAUUCAUUAGAUAAUCCAAAAUGGAAAGGUAUUCUACCUACUCCAACCCUUCCAAUGUCACUUUCAAAAACUCAAAAAUGGAAAGGAAUUUUGCCGACUCCGACACUCAAAAGGUCACCUCAAGAGUUUAAGAAAUCACAUCACAAAAUGCCUGCACGUGUCUACACACCUGCAAGACCUGCACAAAACACAUUUUCAAAACACACAAACAAAAAGGUCAAAACUCAUAAUCCUCGGACCAGACAAAAGCAUACUUUAUCUUCAAAACCUCAGACUAAGUCAAAUGUCAGGAGAAAUGACAAAAAGUUUACGUGUCAAUGUCAAUGUCAAAAGAUCUUCUCCCAUGACAAAUCUCUUCGUUCUCAAAAAACUCGUAACUAUCCACAAUUUCAUAAAACUCCAAAAAAUCUCAAACACCCAAGACUAGGCUUGAAAGUUGACUUAAAACCAGUCCCUGCCACCUCGCAUCAUGCAUCAAUUAAUACAUCGUAUGUGACUCCGGGCUCCAAACUCGCUUCGGUGCCCAAAUUAACCACUUAAUUUCUAUAGGCUUUGUGCAAGGAGGAUCAAGAAGAAGAAUGGUUGAUCGACAGUGCCUGCUCCUUGCACAUGACCGGAAGGUUAGAAUACCUUCGGGAUUUCAGGCCUAUAUGCAAUGCUGGAAAUGUUACAUUCAGCAACAAUGCGAAUGGCAUUAUCCGAGGUUAUGGUGUACUCACUACGGGGAACUUCUCAAUACAGAAGGUUGCCUAUGUAGAAAGUCUUAAACACAAUCUCAUUAGUGUUGGCCAACUAUGUAAGACAGGCCAUCGAGUGGAGUUUGAUGAUCAAUUAUGUUACAUCAUGACGAAUGAUAGAAGCACUUGCUUAAUCAAGUCACGAUCCGAAGGCACCAUGUAUCCUCUGGAUGUCUCUCUCAUCAUUGGUAAACCGCAGCUGUGCUUUCUCUCAAAAGUUGUAUCCGAAGUAGCUGGUUAUGGCACCGCAAGCUCGCUCAUCUCAACUUCAAAUACAUCAACUCCUUAGUCACUGAAGACCUGGUUAGAGGUCUACCCAUUCUGAAGUUCAACAAUGACACUCUAUGUCCUGCUUGUGAAUGUGGUAAGCAGUCAAAAGCAAGUCACCCUAUGGUGAUUGACUCCUCCAUAUCCGAACCACUUGAACUUCUCCAUAUUGAUCUUUGCGUCCAUCAACCGUUGCCAGUCUCCAUCAUAAAAAAUAUAUACUGGUUAUAGUUGAUGACUUUACUCUCUUCACGUGGGUAUUCUUUCUCAGAAUCAAAUCCGAAACACCGUAGAUUCUAAUAAAUUUCAUCAAAGAAAUAGAACUCCAGAUCAAGCUUCCUAUAAGACGCAUCCGCGGUGAUAAUGGCACUGAAUUCACUAAUCAUCCUCUCAACAACUUCUUGGUGUCAAAAGGUAUUUCUCAUAACUUUUCAGCUCCGUAUACACCUCAAAAAAAUGGUGUAGUAGAACGAAGGAACCGCACCCUUGUUGAAGCAGCCAUAUCCAUGCUCAAAUUCGCACAUCUUCCUCUUUACUUCUAGGCUGAAGUUGUAGCAAAUGCAUGCUUUGUUCAGAAUCGAAGCAUUAUGUGCAAACGCCUCAAAAAGACACCAUAUGAGGGUUUCAACAACCGAAAUCCAAAUGUUCGUUUCUUUCACAUCUUUGGGUGUAGAUGUUUUGUGAUCAACAACAGAGAUCAGCUUAACAAAUUUGCACCGUACUCUGAUGAAGGCAUCUUUCUCGGUUAAUCCACAAAUAAGGUUGCAUAUCGGGUUCUCAUCAGACGUACAAGGCUAAUCAUUGAAAGUUUUGAUGUGAAGUUCGAUGACUCUUACAUCCGCAACACCCCUCCAUCUACUGAAACCACUGCCAUCAUGGAAAGCGACAUUCAUGCUUCUUCAGGUCCUCUAAACCUGGUUGAAGUAAAUUAUGAUGAUCUUUUCGACCCUGUUGAAACGGAAAAACUAUCCGAAGUUCUUGUAUCACCAACUGCUCAACAACAACACGCUGAUGUUUCUGGUCCAUCUCUAUCCGAAGUAGCAUCUCUUAAUACUUUCACUUCUCCAGUUGAGGGGGAAAGCUCUACUCCGGUUUAUACUACAACCAUCGAGGUUCCAGUACUUGAUGAUGCUCAAGCUCCCAUUCUCAGAAAAUAACUUCCAUCAAAUGUAUCUUCGGAUUCGGAUGAUGAAAUCAUAGAGAAUAUUGACACUCAAACUGACUCAAGGAUCAUUUCACUCCUCAAGCAGUCCAGGGGGAACCUUCUCGGGUUCCAGAAGAACUCCCUUCAGCAGUCUAGUGGGAACCUCUCCAAACUACUCAAGAAAAUGUCAUUCUCGCUCCAACAAUUCAAGAUGAUUCUGCAGGUUGCUCACAAAUCCAAGGGGAGCUUCCUUCCCCAUCCGAAGCAACCUCUGAUAUUGAAAACAUUCCUUCUACUGCAGCUGCUGAUCAUCUGUUUCCUCGUCUACAUGUAUGGACGAAGGAUCACCCACCAGGUCAAAUUAUUGGCAACCCAUCUGCAGGUAUCCAAACUCGAUCUGCCAAAGAUUUAUCUGAUCAUUGACACUAUGCAGCAUUUAUGUCCUCAGUCGAGCCUCGAUCUAUCAAUGAAGCAUUAUUGGAACCAGAUUGGAUUUCUGCAAUGCAAGAAGAACUGGAAGAAUUUGAAAGAAACAAAGUGUGGCAACUUGUUCCUAUUCUACAAGGCCAUAAUAUUGUUGGUACAAGAUGGGUGUUCAAGAACAAGCUAGAUGAAUCUGGUGCGGUUAUCAGAAAUAAGGCAAGACUAGUUGCUAAAGGAUAUAGUCAACUGGAAGGGGUUGACUAUGAUGAAACAUAUGCUCCGGUGGCUAGAAUGGAACCAAUCUGAAUCUUCUUAGCAUAUGCUUCCCACAAAAACAUCAAAGUACACCAAAUGGACGUUAAGAGCGCUUUUCUCAAUGGGGAAUUGAAAGAAGAGGUUUAUCUUCAACAACCUCCCAGCUUUGAAAGUAUCGAGUUCCCAAAUCACUGCUACAAGCUUCAAAAGGCAGUCUACAGUCUGAAGCAAGCCCUUAGAGCUUGGUAUGAGACUCUUUCUAAUUCCUAGUCUCUUCAGGCUACAAAAGAGGAGUGAUUGAUCCCAUACUGUUUAGAAAAGCAAACGGUUCUCACCUUAUUCUUGUACAAAUAUAUGUGGAUGAUAUCAUCUUUGGAUCGUCGGAUCAAGGAAUGGUGGAUGAAUUUGAUAAGCUCAUGACAAAAAAAUUUCAAAUGAGCAUGAAUAGAGAGAUUAACUUCUUUCUAGGUCUUCAAGUCAAACAAAUUCAGCAAGGGAUAUUCAUUCAUCAAAAGAAAUACACCACUGAACUUCUGAAAAAAUACUCUAUGGACAACUGUUCAUCGGCUAAGGUUCCUAUGGCCUUCGGAUAUAAGAUCUCUGCUAAUCCUUCUGGCGAAUCUGUGGAUCACAAGACUUAUAGAGGUAUCAUUGGCUCUUUAAUGUAUCUCACCGCAAGCCGACCGGAUAUUGUCUUUGCAACUGGUGUGUGGAAGGUAUCAGGCUGACCCAAAAGUGUCACACGUGACCGCAGCCAAAAAAAUUCUUCUUUGCCUAAAAGGAAGAAAAUCUGUUGGUCUAUGAUACCCCGCAGGCAACGAUUUCAGUCUUCAAGUGUUUACUGAUGCGGAUCAUGCCGGAUGCAAACUUGAUCGAAAAAGUACUUCUGGUGGAUGUCAAUUUUUAGGAGGUAGACUUGUCAGCUGGUCCUCAAGAAAACAAAGUUGUGUUUCAUUAUCUACCACAGAAGCAGAAUACGUGGUCACAACCAGCUGCUGGUCCCAAGUCCUUUGGAUAAAGACACAACUGUUAGACUACAGAUACAGAAUGCUGCGGAUACCAAUCUAUUGUGACUCUGAAAGUGCCAUAGCGAUUUCUCAUAAUCCUAUUCAGCACUCCAAGACUAAACAUAUUGAACUAUGGUAUCACUUCAUCAAAGACCACAUUCUGAAAGUUAAUAUUGAACACAUCUUUGUCCCUACUCAUGAAGAGAUUGCUGGUGAUUUUACAAAAGAACUUGACUCUACAAAACUCAAUGUGUUCCUACAAAUGUUGGGAAUGAUGAAUCCGGACCCUAAAUUCUUCUUGAAUUAACAGGCACCGCAGACCUUCCUGGUCUCCAUUGCGGUUCUAACUGAAAGUUAUUGAUAAUAAAUGGUUUUGGAACAUUCUGUGUACCGCAGUUAAUGUACCGCAACCAUAUAUUAUUUCUAUCUUUCAUGGGUCCUUCUUGUUUGUUAUUACUAACUUUUGCUACAAGUGCUCUUCUUAGGUUCUCUCACUAUAGUCAUCCGCAAUACCAAAGAAGCCAUCCGCAAUGAUGUGUUCAUCCGCAGUCACAUUAAUUGCUUUACAGACGGUUCAUUCUUUUUGAAAACAAAAAUAGUGUGCGAUUUAAUGAUCCUUCAUUAAAUAAAACAUUAAAUAAAAACAUUCCUUUGAGAAACUGUCACAUUUUUCUCUCCCAAAACCUUGUGUCAGACCUAUUUUAGGUAUGAUGACAAAAUAAAGAUUUUCCAAAUCAAAUCCUCUAAAAUGUCUCUUCCUAUUACCCAAACCAUCCAUCCGUUACAACUUCUACUUUAUCGAACAUAUUUUUCUCACCCCCUCCACAUGUUCUCAAGACGUGAUCUGACAUUUCAUUAAAUGCAGAGUUUUUUUUUGGUUAAUCCCAAUUUUAAUCUUUAUCCAUUUUUGUCAAUAUGUGGUUAAGAUUAAAGAUACCUUUUUCACAGAUAAACCAUUUUUUACCCAAUUUCACCUAGGUCGAAAACCUUAACGUUUCCCGCUCCUACAAAUCACUAUAAAACCCUUUUCCUCUCCACAAAGAAACCUUUACGCUCUCAAAACCCUCAAUCUUUCUCUACAUUCUUCAAGCUCUUUCAAAAUCAACAAUGGUGAAAUUCGGCGCUUCUAAGAAACAAUCCAAAGCUUCUGGAUCAGCGAACCCAACUGGUUCAGAUUCUCCCACGAUUGCCUCGAGCAAUUUUAGAGCUAUUUUCGAUGAUCAACUCACUUACAUUACACCAACCAAACUGAUGAUCAAGUUCUUGAAGAAUCAUCCCCUUUUUGGACCUUUUGAUGCAUUUACAGACAUUGUUCCACUAUCCACUCUCUACAAGUGUGCCAUUUCUGCAUAUCACCCAGUCGAUAACCCUCAAGAAGUCCAUCUCAACCUUGUUAAUGAUGCUUUGGUCAUCUUGACCAAAGAAAAGUUCCUUUCAGCCAUCAAUCUUCUGAUUCAUCCAUCUGUGAAGUUCUUCACUCUAUCAAUGGCAGAUGUCACCACUGCAUUAUACCAAAUGGGCUAUCAGAAGAAGAUAAAAGGCAUUGGUGAGUUCAAGAAGAACCAAUUGCAUGCGGUAUGGCAGUUUGUCUGUCACUUUAUCAUCCGCAGUCUGUCUGGCAGAACCAAAGGCACAAACAGCAUGGGUUUAAAACUUCUAGAACUGGUUUGGAACAUCUUCAUCAUCCGCGAUGUGAACUACGGUCAGAUUCUAUGGGACGAUUUUCUCCAAUACAUUCCCAAGGAGCGCCCGAGGCAGAACCCAUCCGAGCUUACUUUUGCUCGAUUCUGGUCUUUAUGCAUAUCUGACUUGCAUGCGGAUGCCAAGAUUGACAUGGGUGACGACAUCAAUUUCUCCAUCACCAAAGACUUAAAAAGGUACAACCCUUCUUCUGAUCAAACUAUUUUUGGUCCCAUCCGCAGACUCCCUACCCACAUCCUUACUUCACUUGGUCUUGAGACUGUUGAUGUCUCAAACCACGUUGAGGCUACGGAAGGUAUUGACCCAUACCUUCCUACCCCGCCUCUUCCAUCCGUAGCUUUAAACCCUGAAGGUACCACAGUUCCUUCUUCUACCACUCUUUCUAACAUCUCUCAGAAAUGUAAACAUAGGGUUUCUUCUCUUCAUGGUCCCCGCACCACAAAGAAAUCUAGCACCCCCAAUAAGGAUGCCCUUAAACCAUCCAAACCAUCAAAGAAGAGAAAAUCACCACCAGUUAUCAUAACUGCUGAACCGAGUCGCCAUGACUCCGNUCUGAAGAGGAUGACCAACCAAUCUCUAUCCUUAAGAAACGAAAAGUUGAUCCCACUGACCAAAUGCAUGACUGGACCGAUACCUCAGCCUCUCAACAGGCUCCAGUAGUCCUUGGGAUGCCUACACAUCCAUUUGACAAAACCAUCCUUUUCCUUUCAGAUUCAGAAAGUGAGUCUAAAUCACAACAGAGAGGAGACUCCCUACUAGUACAUUCCCAAAGGGAUAAUACUGGUUAUCGCCCUAAAGUCUCCACGGCUUCCCGACUGCAUAUUUGUUCAUCCGAGGAGUUGAACUCCAUCCUCUUGAAUGUCGCCCAUACACUCCAAACACUGUCCCAUCCGCAAGGCACUUCUUCCGCCUUUGCCAGAACUGAGCCCAGGCCAAACUUGACCACGGGUCACGGAGACCAAGGAAGCUCAGGAAAUCCUACUCUGCUUACAUUACAUUCAGGUGGUUUAGGCACGGUGAGCACAAAUGUGCAAGGAUCCGUGAACCCAAGGGACACCUUGGUGCGUUUUUCAGGAAUUGACGGAGAAGACUCUAAUAAUUCUUGGAGCAGAUAUCAACCCUCUAACGAGGCUGAAGCCAAGAAAUAUGCCGCUUUUCGUAGGACAUUUCAAGCUCGCAAGCAUCAGCAGAUCAAGCAACAAUAACUCAAAGAACAAGAGAUUCAAGCUGUGGCAAAGUAUUGGGCGGAUGCCAUCAACAAUGCCAAUACCGUAGCCAAUAUCAUGAAGGUUAAAGAAUGGAUGUCCGCAAUGGCAGCCAAAGUUCAAAAAGCUCAACAAACUGCUGCUGAUCAACAUGUUCAUCAAGCUCCCCCUUCUCCAACUACCGCAGGUUCUCAGGAUGAAGAACCUGAAAUCAAAGUGAGCUCUACUCUAAUUUUUUGCUUCGAUGAUGAUGAACCACAAGAGGUAAACAAAUCAUCUCCUUCAGAUGACGACUUGAUGAUGUUCGAUGAAGAUGAAGAAAUCAGUGGGUCUCAUCACUCCAUAACUAAGCCAAAAGAAAAGAAGAAGAAGAAGAAGCACGCAGUCACAAGAAAAGAAUUUCUCAGUCUUCAAGCUAAAGUAGAUCAAAUCUUAGCUGCGGUCAAGCCGAAUCAACCGCAACCAGAAGACAGCCCAGGACCGCAGUCCCUGAUGGAAAGAAUCGAAAGAUUGGAAACAAAAGAGAGAUUGGCAGCGGAGCACAUCUCUUUAAAAGUUGAAAUGGGGAUUAGAUCACUUGACAACAAUUGUCAAGCUGAUCAUAAGGAGUUCAUGGUUGCUGCAGAACGUCUCAUCUCUGAGGUUACCGCAAUGAAAACCGACCUUCAAGCAGCGAUUGCGGAUCAGGCUUCACAUUCUGAGAAGUUGAUUGCUGAAACUCAUACUGCUUAUGAGUCAGCAAUCUCUGUUCUCCAAACAACUAUCAACAGAAUGCAACGCUCACUCUCCACCAACUUCCAUGGUCCGGAGAUUCUUCAGCUCACUAAGGAGAUUCACAAACUACUCUUCAAUCCCUCCAUCCCCAAUAACCAACAACCGGUAGAAGAGAUCAAAGCUAAAUUUCAAAUGAUCUUUGACAAGGUUGAUGGCCUUCGUCAAUGGCUUGAGGAGGCUCCGGGUCUGGAAUCCUUAAGAGGGGGAAGUGAAGAAGUCCAUCACUCUGACCAAUCUCCUUCACAUCAUCAAACUCCCCCAGUCUCUACUGAAAAAAUCCCCACACCCCAACCAUCUCAUCACAACUCCCCACUCCAUAAUACUCUUGAAAAACCAGAAACUCCCCCGCACAUCAAGAAUCUGGAGGAGUAUAUGUCGUCUCCGAGCUCAAACGAUUCUCCUGCCACUGCUCAGAGAAAAAGAGACUGGAAGGCAACCAAUCUGCCUGAAGAAGUAUGGAGACUCUACAGAUUCGACACAGUUAUGGAUGAAUUCUUGAUAAAUUCUUGGAUCAAUCCUCACAGAAGACUUCUUGAUGAUGACUAUGUCCCUAAUCUCACGUAUGCGGAACCCCCCUCAGACGGAUACUGGGAUGUCCCAAUCUCACCGAAUGCCAAAUACUUCACUGUAUUUCAGCAGUUCAGUCGCAGCCUUCCGGACGACGAAAGACUUCCUAUGGAGUUCGGGAGACUUAGCCAAUUCUAUGAUAAGCUUGCCUCUCCAGUUGAACACAUAUGGUCUAACGAUAGACCAUCCACAGUGAAGAAUUACAAGAUCAGGAAAUUCAUGAAGGUUGAGUCCAUCCAGUACACCCUAACUAGGAGGGAGCACGACUACAUCCGCACCCAGGCUGAUUUUCUGUGUAUGAACCCGGAAGAAGUGUUUCUCAUCGCCAAGGUCUUUCAGCACAAGUCUGAGAAGCAUCUAAAGAUGAAGAUCGCUCUUGAAAGGGACAACACCUUUCUUAAGGAAACAGUCUGUGACUUCGCAAAAAUAAAUGCAGACAUUCAUCCCAUCAUCUCCAAGAUUGCUGACUUGCCACCGCUUGACCCCGCACCCAUGCCUACCGAAGGCUAUGAAGAAAGAUCCUUAGGUGCAACAAAAUAUCCUAAGCUGGGAGUCAUUUUCAAGAGGAAGACUGAUAACGUCAAAUAUUUCAUUCCUAUGACUGCCAUACAUCGUCUUACCAGAAAAAAACUUGAGAUCUGCCGCAACGUAGUUGAAAAAUCCAAGCAUACAACCGCAGAGGUCAAGUUUGAAAUACUGAGAAGAAUCAACUGGUUAGAGAACGUUAGGAAGUUUUGGUGGAUACUGAUCAAGUUCAUUAAACUUGAUAGCUGAUCUAAGUUAAAGAGGUCACUUAGGGGGAAAUUGUUGAAUCAAAAAGUGACCCUCUUGAACUUUUGCUACCGCAGCGCCCAAGCCACCGCAGUCAAGCAAUCUCUUCAUCGACUGUUAUCCAAACUCUUCAGCACCGCAGUCUAUAUCUUUACUUAGUUUAUUUUGUCUGUCCUGUAAAACACUCUAAUGUCCAGUAUGCCUUGCAUGGCUACUCUUAGAGUUGUAAACUUCUCUAUAAAUAGACAUCAUUUCUAAUGUAUUUAGUACCAGUGUGAAUCUCUUAUCAAAUUAUAAUACACAUCUUCAAGUUCUCAUUCUAUCUUACUUAUCAAAGCUUCUUACUCACAUCAUCUCUCUUCGGAGCAAGUCACUUGUGACUUAAUCACUAAGCUAGAUCUCACUAACUAACUUGGUUUGAAUGCAUUCCUUGUUAUGAAUCUGCUUUUGUGUAUACUUGAUAUAACAAUUGUUGUCAUUUACAUUUCUUUACUUUUCCGCAUCUAACUCACUAACUUCUAACUCUUAAUAUUAUUGUUGAGCUAACAGAUCCUUCGAGAUUAACUAUUCCGCUAUAUACUUGUUCUAACAUUUCGUUCAAGUGUGUCUCAAAGUUUUUCUCUCAACAUUGGGCCUUGUGGCCCAAUAUACAGUUGUACUUUGAUGCCAGGCCCAUCAGUGAAGGAAAGACCUUUGGGCAAUUAUGGAGGAACUUGGACUUAGAAUUUUGGGCUCUUUGAUUAGGUUGAGUUAUAAUCCUAUUUAGGGUAUUUGUAUAUUUGUUCAGUUUGAGAUUUUGGCUGAUAGUUGAGUAGCGAUUGUUUUCAGGAGAUUAAGGUGAGUCUUCUCACUAUACCAGUGGGUCGAAGGCACCAAUGCCGACCCAUUACUUGAUAUGAGAUUUUAAUUGCAGAAUAUGCAAUGGUUUUGUGAUUUGAUAUGUAUUGACUUAUGUGAAGACCACGAGGGGAGACCAUGGCACUUGGUAAGACCAUCAAAGGGAGCCCAUGACACUUAGAUGUAAGACCAUGGGGGUAGCCUAAGGCAUUCCAAAUGAAGACCAUGGAUGGCGUCCAUGGCAAAUCUACUUAUAUAUGUGCAUGACAUUAUGUGGUUAUGUGUAUUGUGUAUUUUGGGAAACUCACUAAGCGUGUGCUUGCAGUUUUGGUUGGGUGUUUUAGGUAUUUAUGGUUCCAAGGCCAAGGGCCCAGCUAGAUGGUGCAGUGUACACUCUCCAGUAUUUCUGCACUAGUUGUUUUGCAUACUCUGAUCUUUUAAGCAAUGUGUUUAUGUAAUGGAAUUUUGGAAAAAACAAAUAUGAAUGAGAUUUCUAAUUAUUAAAUGAAAAAUUUUAUCUAAAUUUUUGUGCUGUUACAGUUAGCGUUUCUGAGUCUUGAGUGAUUUCUUCAAGAAGUCCUCUAUCUACACAAUACUAACUACGUGGUUUUUAUAUAGAGAAAGAAUAAAUGACACAUGAACAAGAUGAAAUACCAAAGUGAGAGGGUGUGUGUGUUAAAGGUGUUGUGUGUUAUGUAUUGUGUGUGUAUGUUUAUAUGGUGUGUAAACUCCGUACUCGAUAUUUCCCUUAAGUUGGUUCCUAAAUAUCAAUAUAAUUGUACUCGUGUUCCCAAUAAUAAUUUUUAUUAUAUUAUUAUUUUUUUAAUUUUAAUUUUUAUUUAAUUUUUAUUUAUAUUAUUGUGUGUGUAUAAUCUCUAUUAAACACCUUUCCCCACCAGAAAAAGACUUUAUAAUAGGCUCAAUUACAAGAAAUAAUAGUAAAAAGAUGAAAAACAAACAAGAAACAAUUCAAUCCAAAUCACUCCAGCCCUUCGUAUGCCCAAUAUGUGGGUCACUUAGUAAGAAAUAAAGACUAUAAACACUAUUAAGAUGCGAUAUUAACAAAUAUUAUCAUAGACCAUAUUUGUACUAAACAAACUUUAUUUUUUCUUACAAUAAACUUACAGAUGAACCUUAAAAUAUCAUACAAAUAUAUGGGAACUUCGAACUAAAAUUACAUGAUAUUAAAGGACUUAAGGUUUUCCCUUUCGGGAAAUCCCUUAAAAAACUAAAAGUAAAUAAAUGAAAGAAACUUACAUGAAAAUUUGGAUAUCUUACAACGUUUAUACAACAAAUUUGAAGAAGAGCUAAAGAAUUUUUAAGUAAAUGGGUUGAGAGAAAAUGAGAGGGAGAGGUAUUUUUCUUCUUAGUAGUUGUGUCUAACUUCUAAACAAUC